AAAAAUGAGAAGUCAAGUUUAAUUAUAAAAAAUGUGUGGUCUAUCCCUCUAUUAAAAUCUGUAUACACAUCUGUACUCCAUGACCUCAGAUUGCCAUAUUUCUUCCUCUGAAGCACAAGAAAGUCUUCCUUUUACCUCACCCAAUUCUCUCCUGCUUUUAAUUCGAGCCUAUUUCCAUUCAUUGGGUUUGUUGCAGACAUGAAGAGCAAACUGGCUUUGAAGUUAAUAAUCAUUAUUUUCUCAUUUCUUGGGAUAAAGGCAAAAAGAAUCCCUUCAGCCUUCCCUCAGAAACCAUUCUUUAGCCCUUUCAUCAUCUUUGUCACUUCUCUGAACUCACUCCAGGUUCGCCACAUCUGCACGUUACAAGCGUGAGUUCUCAGUGUUCUCAAACAUCCCCAACUCCGUUCUCAAAAACAUCUGCCAGCACUUGGGGCCAAGUCUAGAGUUAAUCCUUCUGUUUUAACACCUCUGGUAUGGGUCACAGACUAGCCGUUUUGUUGCCUUUAAACAAAACAAACAACAACAAAAAAACCAUAGGGAUGGGAUAUUUCGAAGGUGAGUGGCCAACUUUCAGAAUGACAGUGUUUUCUUCUGACCUCAAAGAUGGGCUGCCUUCCAAGGGGAGCCUUGAAGUUUCA
rnacentral:lncRNA from 10 species